rnacentral:lncRNA from 1 species
CCUGUCUCUACUAAAAAUACAAAAAAAUUAGCCAGACGUGGUGGAGCAUGCCUGUGAUCCCUGCUAUUCGGGAGGCUGAGGCAUGAGAAUCGCUUGAACCUGGGAGGCGGAGGUUGCAGUGAGCUGAGAUCGUGCCACUGCACUCCAGCCUGGGCAACGGAGUGAGAUUCUGUCUUAAAAAAAAAAAAAAUUGUACACAAAACUUCAUUUUCACUAAAACCAAAGUCAGAACCUAGGAAGGCAAAACACAAAGGUUCUGGAAAGAAGUGCUCCAUAGGGAGGUAGAAUUGAUCAAGUGACCCGUCUUCUAUCUCCUUCUUAGCUGUUUCACUGCAUAUGUCCAGUGCCUGGGCACAAGGCCUCAAAUGCAGGAUUAGGUGAUACCUUGAUGUGAAUGCAAUGGAUUCCUGCUGGACUAGUGCCACCAAGAGAGUACUUCCUCUUGGUCUUUUUUUUUUUGGAAUAUGGCAAGUUCUCAAUUAAAAGAUAGACUCUUAUCCCCUAUUGACUUGCCUCACAGUCUGCAUCAGCAUCACCUGAGAGCUGAUUAGAAAUGCAAAAUCUCAGUCCCCAUCCAAACCCACUGAGUCAGAACCACUAUUUUAUAACAAAUCUCCUGGAGAUCCGUAUGAACGUUAAAGUAUAAGAAAUACUGCCCGGCCAGGCAUGGUGGCUUAUGCCUGUAAUCCCAGCACUUUGGGAGUCCGAGGCGGAUGGAUCAUGAGGUCAGGAGUUUGAGACCAGCCUGGCCAAGAUGGUGAAACCCUGUCUCUACUAAAAAAUACAAAAAUUAGCUGGGUGCGGUGGUGGGCACCUGUAAUCCCAGCUACUCGGGAGGCUGAGGCAGGAGAAUUGCUUGAACCUGGGAGGCAGAGUCUGCAGUGAGCCGAGAUCGCGCCACUGCACUCUAGCCUGGGCGACAGAGCAAGACUCCGUCUCGAAAAAAAAAAAAAAAGAAAGAAAGAAAUACUGCCCAAUAGGGCUUAAAAAUACCACUUCCCUUCCCUCCACACCCCUGCUCCAUGGGAAAUUCAUCUCCUCUUUCAUUAAUUUUUCUUAAAUCACAUUAUUCAGAAACCCAAAAUGGGGUGCCCAUCUGUAGAACCCCUUUACAUUAGACUGCCACCCAGAUUUCCUAACACCUUAAAACCUAUGAGGGAUUUUUGGUAAAGUGAAAUGCGAUAAUUCAAGUAAAGUUCUUAGCUCAUUAUCCGGGCACAGGAAGAAUUCAUUGAAGGAUAACUGCUUUAAUUAUAGUGCCCUUAAGUAUUAGCUACGAGAUUCAGUUCUAAGCAAGCCAGGGCGAGUAGAUUGAGAAGCUUACAUUUAAAAGAGUUCACUGUCCAGUACAGUAGCCACUAGCUACAACUGGCUCUUUACAUUUAUUAUUUUUUUAUUUACUUAUUUAUUUUUGAGACAG